rnacentral:rRNA from 1 species
AGCAGCCGCGGUAAUUCCAGCUCCAAUAGCGUAUAUUAAAGUUGCUGCAGUUAAAAAGCUCGUAGUUGAAUUUCGGGACCGAUAUAUCGGUCGUGCCUCGGUACGUACUGGUAUUUUCGGUUUCUCCCUUCUGACGAACCUUGAUGUCAUUAAUCUGGUGUCUUGGGGAAUCAGGACUGUUACUUUGAAAAAAUUAGAGUGUUUAAAGCAGGCUCACGCUUGAAUACAUUAGCAUGGAAUAAUGAAAUAGGACGUUUGAUUCUAUUUUGUUGGUUUCUAGGAUCGACGUAAUGAUUAAUAGGGAUAGUUGGGGGCAUUAGUAUUCAAUUGUCAGAGGUGAAAUUCUUGGAUUUAUUGAAGACUAACUACUGCGAAAGCAUUUGCCAAGGAUGUUUUCAUUAAUCAAAGGACGAAAGUUAGGGAUCGAAGACGAUCAGAUACCGUCGUAGUCUUAACCAUAAACUAUAGCCGACUAGGGAUCGGAUGAUGUUAAUUUUUAUGUACUNAUCGGCGCUUACGG